rnacentral:rRNA from 1 species
GGGAUAACAGGCUGAUGACGCCCAAGAGUCCAUAUCGACGGCGUUGUUUGGCACCUCGAUGUCGACUCAUCGCAUCCUGGGGCUGGAGCAGGUCCCAAGGGUUUGGCUGUUCGCCAAUUAAAGAGGUACGUGAGCUGGGUUUAGAACGUCGUGAGACAGUUCGGUCCCUAUCUGCCGUGGGUGUAGGAUAUUUGAGAGGAGCUGCCCCUAGUACGAGAGGACCGGGGUGGACGUACCUCUGGUGGACCUGUUGUCACGCCCGUGGCACUGCAGGGUAGCUAAGUACGGAAGGGAUAACCGCUGAAAGCAUCUAAGCGGGAAGCCCCCCUCAAAACCAGAUAUCCCUUGAGAGCCGUGGAAGACCACCACGUUGAUAGGCUGGAGGUGGAAGAGUGGUAACACUUGGAGCUGACCAGUACUAAUAACUCGAUCGAGUUUGAUCU